rnacentral:lncRNA from 1 species
UGUAUUAUUUCCAAAACAACUUUUGAUGGAUCUGAAAAGCCUUGCAGAUUACCUAGAAUGUCAUCGUCAGACAACUCAAGUUCCUCUGUUUGCUCACAUGGGAGCAACAUCAAACUUCUUUCAUCAAUGGCGGGACUUAAUUGAUUACAUGUGUACGAUGUAACUGCAUAAUUAGCUAGCACAUAUUUAAGCUUCCUCAGUAUUUAUUUGAAGGAUUGGUAAAUCAAGGUGACAAUAUAUACUUUAUAUAAUGUUAUAUAACAUGAAAUAGUGAAAAACCUCUCCCACAUAGUUUGUAAGUAUAGUAAAAUUUGAACCUGUACUGUAACUCAUAAGCUUAAUGCUAUUUGCAAUAAACUUGAAGAAUUAAAACUGCACCAAUAUAUUGAUCCAUCAAUCAUCAUAAUAUUAAAAAUAAACAACUAAGCCAUGGCUAAAAUGAGAAGAAAAAAAAUUGCGUUUAAAGCAAAAAAUAUAUUCCAAAUUAGCAAUGACGAUGUCUGAUAUUAAAACUAGUGAAGAUUUUCAAGUUGACUAAGACAUACAAGAUUAACAUGAUUAAACAUGUUUUUAAUAAACUAGGCAGAUCAGGUAAUUAAAGAUAUCAACAACAUUCGAAAGACACGGUUGAAAUGAAAUUGUUCUAAAAUUUAAUGAAAUUUUUUUUUUUUUACCGAAUUCUGUUUCUUCAUCAAAUGGUUCUAUUAAAGCAUCAUAUUGUUUCUCUCUUAACUCAGGCCGCUCCAGCUGUCCAUCAAAUUCACUUGGCUUUGACUCAAGACCCUCCAUGCGUCCCUCAAACUGCUUCUCUUUUGGCUUG